AGCUCCAAUAGCGUAUAUUUAAGUUGUUGCAGUUAAAAAGCUCGUAGUUGGACCUUGGGUCGUCAUGGUCGGUCCGCCUACUUGGUGUGCACUGGCCCUCACGUCCCUUCUGCCGGCGGCGUGUUCCUGGCCUUAGUUGGCUGGGUCGCGGUUCCGGCGCCGUUACUUUGAAAAAAUUAGAGUGCUCAAAGCAAGCCUACGCUCUGAAUACAUUAGCAUGGAAUAACGCGAUAGGAGUCUGGUCCUGUUCCGUUGGCCUUCGGGACCGGAGUAAUGAUUAAUAGGGACUGUCGGGGGCAUUCGUAUUUCAUUGUCAGAGGUGAAAUUCUUGGAUUUAUGGAAGACGAACCACUGCGAAAGCAUUUGCCAAGGAUGUUUUCAUUA
rnacentral:rRNA from 1 species